GAAAUGCGAUAAGUAGUGUGAAUUGCAGAAUUCAGUGAAUCAUCGAAUCUUUGAACGCACAUUGCGCCCUUUGGUAUUCCUUAGGGCAUGCCUGUUCGAGCGUCAUUUGUAACCUCAAGCUCAGCUUGGUGUUGGGUGUCUGUCCCCGCCCCGCGCGGGGACUCGCCUCAAAAACAUUGGCGGCCGGUACGUUGACUUCGAGCGCAGCAGAAACGCGAACUCGAGGCCCGACGGAUCGGCGACCAGAAGUCACUUCUUCCACAGCUUGACCUCGGAUCAGGUAGGGAUACCCGCUGAACUUAAGC
rnacentral:misc_RNA from 1 species